rnacentral:rRNA from 1 species
CCUACGGGUGGCUGCAGUGGGGAAUAUUGGACAAUGGGGGGAACCCUGAUCCAGCCAUGCCGCGUGUGUGAAGAAGGCCCUCGGGUUGUAAAGCACUUUCAGUGAGGAAGAACGCCUGGUGGUUAAUACCCAUCAGGAAAGACAUCACUCACAGAAGAAGCACCGGCUAACUCCGUGCCAGCAGCCGCGGUAAUACGGAGGGUGCGAGCGUUAAUCGGAAUUACUGGGCGUAAAGCGCGCGUAGGUGGCUUGAUAAGCCGGUUGUGAAAGCCCCGGGCUCAACCUGGGAACGGCAUCCGGAACUGUCCAGCUAGAGUGCAGGAGAGGAAGGUAGAAUUCCCGGUGUAGCGGUGAAAUGCGUAGAGAUCGGGAGGAAUACCAGUGGCGAAGGCGGCCUUCUGGACUGACACUGACACUGAGGUGCGAAAGCGUGGGUAGCAAACAGGAUUAGAUACCCCUGUAGUC